rnacentral:lncRNA from 1 species
AGGCAAGCAACGAAGACCAGAUGAAAUGCUGCUUGAAGGGCUGGCAUAUCUAGAAUUGGUGGUAGAAAUGACCAUGAAGACUAAGUAACUGAGAAGAUUUAAUGCAGGGUGCAUAUGGAUUGAGUUCAGGGUGCGCUUUUCAUCCCUUUAUUACUAAUAUCCCAGCUGUCCAUCCUCCAUCCCUCCCCCAUGAUUUCCGCCAAGGACAAAGCAGGAAGUCUUUGCUUGAAAGUUUGCUCAAGAAACACCAUGCAUAUUUGACAUCAUAAGGAAAGAAAUGAGCAGAACCAUACAUCCAACUUACAUUGCAAUUACUGCAGAGGAAGAGAGAUGGAGAAGUUAAAAUGAAACAUUUCAAGGAUGAAUGGGCACUGAAAAUUGGUAAAGUGGCAGAAAAGUCCAAGCUUGAAGAAUUAUUUUGCAGAAACAUCUGUUUGCUGUUGCUAAAAGUUUUAGCAUUUAAAUGUUCUCAUUUGGGCUCUGAAGUUAGCACUUCCUUGAAGUAGUUCACACCUUUGCUGUUGCUCCUGUUCAGCUACAGAUCAUUUUAUGCAAGGCUGAUUUUAACAAGAAAAUGGUGCAUUAAUUUA